AAUAUAUAGGUAACGUGCCUUCAAGAAGGGGAUAACAAUUGGAAACGAUUGCUAAAACCCUAUAUGCCUUUAAGUCUUAAGACUGCAAGGGAAAUAUUUAUAGCUUGAAGAUCGGCCUGUACAGUAUCAGUUAGUUGGUGAGGUAAUGGCUCACCAAGACAAUGACGCUUAACUGGUUUGAGAGGAUGAUCAGUCACACUGGAACUGAGACACGGUCCAGACUCCUACGGGAGGCAGCAGUGGGGAAUAUUGCACAAUGGACGAAAGUCUGAUGCAGCAACGCCGCGUGGAGGAUGACACAUUUCGGUGCGUAAACUCCUUUUAUAUAGGAAGAUAAUGACGGUACUAUAUGAAUAAGCACCGGCUAACUCCGUGCCAGCAGCCGCGGUAAUACGGAGGGUGCAAGCGUUACUCGGAAUCACUGGGCGUAAAGAGAAUGUAGGCGGAUAUAUAAGUUUGAAGUGAAAUCCAAUGGCUCAACCAUUGAACUGCUUUGAAAACUGUAUAUCUAGAAUAUGGGAGAGGUAGAUGGAAUUUCUGGUGUAGGGGUAAAAUCCGUAGGGAUCAGAAGGAAUACCGAUU
rnacentral:rRNA from 1 species